GACGUAGGGUCCAAGCGUUGUCCGGAUUUACUGGGCGUAAAGAGCGCGUAGGCGGCUCGUUAAGUGUGAAGUGAAAUCUCCAGGGCUCAACCCGGAAACUGCUUACAUACUGGCGAGCUGGAGUGAUGCAGAGGUUUGUGGAAUUCCUGGUGUAACGGUGAAAUGUGUUGAUAUCAGGAGGAACACCCAUGGCGAAGGCA
rnacentral:rRNA from 1 species